rnacentral:rRNA from 1 species
CACGUAGGGGGCGAGCGUUGUCCGGAAUCAUUGGGCGUAAAGAGCUCGUAGGCGGCUCGGUAAGUCGGGUGUGAAACCCCCAGGCUCAACCUGGGGACGCCACCCGAUACUGCUGUGGCUAGAGUCCAGUAGGGGAGUGUGGAAUUCCCGGUGUAGCGGUGGAAUGCGCAGAUAUCAGGAGGAACACCGAUGGCGAAGGCAGUUCUCUGGGACGGUACUGACGCUGAGACGCGAAAGCGUGGGGAGCGAACAGG